ACGGCAGCAGCGGCGGCGGCGCUGAUAUUGUUGGGAAACGUCAUCGUCGCGGAAGCUUCGACUUCGCCUUCGGCGUUCGUACAGAACGUCAUCUACUCAACAAGAUUGCCAUCUUCUCCAAUUCCUAUUGCCCCUCCUUGCAGUGCUUGUAGCAAUUGUUGGUGUGGGUGCUUUUCUGUGGUGGGCAAGGCAGGAUAUGGUUCAAGACAGUGUGCUAACAGGUAAUCUGGAUUGGUGUUGGAUAGUUUCCAUGGAUAGGCAUGCAGAAAUCUUUUGUGUUAUAAUCAGUUCAUUCUUUCCCAUGUGAGAUGUAUUAGAUAAAUGUAUGAUAUGUAUAGGAUGUUUGGAGAAGGUUUGAGUACGCAAGUGAAACUCUUUCAUGUAACAAUUCACGAACGCUUCAUCCACAUCUUGUAAUCAAGUAAUGUCAGAGUAACAUCCUGAGGGUGAUUUUCAAUUGUGAAGUUUUAUUUAUUUCU